UACGUAGGGGGCGAGCGUUGUCCGGAUUCAUUGGGCGUAAAGCGCGCGUAGGCGGCCCCGCAAGUCGGCCGUGAAAUCUCCGGGCUCAACUCGGAGGGGUCGGGCGAGACUGCGGAGCUCGAGGUGGGCAGAGGGCAGUGGAAUUCCGGGUGUAGUGGUGGAAUGCGUAGAGAUCCGGAGGAACACCAGUGGCGAAGGCGGCUGCCUGGGCCUGGCCUGACGCUGAGGCGCGAAAGCUAGGGGAGCAAACGGG
rnacentral:rRNA from 1 species